rnacentral:rRNA from 1 species
GACGAACGCUGGCGGCGUGCCUAAUACAUGCAAGUUGAGCGCUGAAGGUUGGUACUUGUACCCACUGGAUGAGCAGCGAACGGGUGAGUAACGCGUGGGGAAUCUGCCUUUGAGCGGGGGACAACAUUUGGAAACGAAUGCUAAUACCGCAUAAAAACUUUAAACACAAGUUUUAAGUUUGAAAGAUGCAAUUGCAUCACUCAAAGAUGAUCCCGCGUUGUAUUAGCUAGUUGGUGAGGUAAAGGCUCACCAAGGCGAUGAUACAUAGCCGACCUGAGAGGGUGAUCGGCCACAUUGGGACUGAGACACGGCCCAAACUCCUACGGGAGGCAGCAGUAGGGAAUCUUCGGAAAUGGACGAAAGUCUGACCGAGCAACGCCGCGUGAGUGAAGAAGGUUGUCGGAUCGUAAAACUCUGUUGGUAGAGAAGAACGUUGGUGAGAGUGGAAAGCUCAUCAAGUGACGGUAACUACCCAGAAAGGGACGGCUAACUACGUG